GGCUCCCAGAGAUCCCCAAAGUUGGACUUUAAUCAUCGGGGGGGUCAAGGAGAACCUGGAGAAGCCCCCAAAGGUUGGACGUUGAUCAUAGUGGGGGUCGUGGUCAAGGAGAACUCCCCAAAUUGGACUUUGAGGUUGAGGAGCUCCUGGAGACCCCCAAAAGUUGGACAUUGGUCAUCAAGGUCAAGGAGAACCCCCCAAAAUUGAAUUUUAAUCAUCGGGGGGGUCGAGGAGAACCUGGAGAAGCUCCCAAAAGUUGGAUGUUGAUCAUCGUGGGGGUCAAGGUCAAGGAGAACCCCCCAAAUUGGACCUUAAUCAUUGUGGGGGUCGAGGAGAACCUGGAGACCCCCAAAGUUGGAUGUUGGUCAUCAAGGUCAAAGAGAACCCCCCAAAAUUGGAUUUUAAUCAUCGUGGGGGUCAAAGAGAACCUGGAGACCCCCAAAGUUGGACAUCGAUCAUCGUGGGGGUCAAGGUCAAGGAGAACCCCCAAAAUUGGAUGUGGGGGUCAAGGGGCAAUCUGGAGACCCCCCAAAACUGGACAAGGGGGUUGAGGUGCUCAUGGAGACCCCCCAAGGUUGGACAUUGGCCAUCAAGGGGGGUCCCGGUCAACAAAGACCCCCCAAGGUUGGAUGUUGGCCAUCAGGGGGGUCGAGGUCAACAAAGAUCCCCCAAGGUUGGACAUUGGCCAUCGGGGGGUUGAGGUCAACAAAGACUCCUCAUGGUUGGACAUUGGCCAUCGGGGGGGUCCUGAUCAAGGAGGACCCCCCAAUGUUGGCCGUUGGCCAUCGGGGGUUCGACGUUGACCGUUGGCCAUUGGGGGGUCCCGGUCAACAAAGACCCCCCCAAGGUUGGACGUUGGCCAUUGGGGGGGUCCUGAUCAAGGAGGACCCUCCAAUGUUGGCCGUUGGCCAUCGGGGGUUCGACGUUGACCGUUGGCCAUCACUGGGCUCACGGUCAAUGAAGACCCCCCAGUGUUGGCCGUUGGCCAUCGGGGGGUCCCGGUCAAGGAGGCCCC